CAUAGGUGCACAUGCACCGAGCUGGAUCGAUCCCAUUUGGGAACAAGAACAAGGGAUGCACUUGUUGUCGUCUUGCUAUGGCAUUGUCUCCGGUGUGCGUGCCGAUAUGAUUCGUGUUUGGCCAUAUGUCGCGGUCUCAGGCUGGCAAUUGUGCGAGUGACGUAACGUUUAAGCGCGUUACAGGUUUUCAAUGGCGUUACUGUUAGAUGUAUUAGCAAACGUAUUUUACGUAAUGUUUCGUUGGUUCUCCCAUCUCCGCCGUUCCAUUCCGCUCACCGACAUUGAUUCCAAGGAGGAGGCGGCGGUAGCGGUGAUGGCCGCUGCUUCGCCUCCCACUCCGACCACCAGCAGUUCGCCUCAGGUCCGGCAGUUGUCCUGCACCAAAUGCUUCGUUGCGCUUUGGUUCUGCUAUCUGGCGUGGUCAAAUCAUUGAAGUGGUGGAGCUCUCAGUGGCCUUUGCCUUAGGAAUCGCUCCAAAAGUCUCGACACUGUUGUUCUCGCCCAACGUCGUGCGUGCCAAGGGCUACUCUGUCUGUCAAAGACAUUGUUGUUUUGAUUGCUUAAGAAGAUCCUAUGUGAUUUGAAUGGAAGGGGAUGGUGGGCACGGCUUAGUGUCAUCAAGGUGUUUGUGCAAACGUCCGUGUGAAUGUGCUGGAUCUUGAGCAAGAUGGUCGUGGGUUAGGCACAGAUCAUGUUGGGAAAAUGCUUCGCUAUAUGGAAGAGUGGAGGUUAUGUUCCUGAAGAUGGUGUGUGCAGUUGGUUCAUUAUAUUGGAUGAUCGUGGGUGCGUGCAGUUGGUUCAUUAUGCUCCCGAAGCUUGUGCCGGAGGCUGAGUCUCUAAAUGUGGUGCAUGUGAUGAAUGGCAAAAUCUCAUGGAGAUUACCAAAGCUUGGAGUGAAUCAUGUUAGCGUUUCCUUCAAUGAGAUGGCAUUUUGCUAAAAGUACUCUUCAACACCCUGAUGAAUAGCUUUCAUAAGUGGAGAGAAAGCAGAACAAUAUAUAUCUGUACGAAUCGGAAGGUGGAGGAAGCUUCAGUGGACUGAUGGUAAUGUAUGACAUAUUUUCCAGCUUCCUCCUAAAUCUGGCUCAUGACCUCUAUUUUGAAACAUGAAAUUCUGCACUUGUUAAUCAAUGACUAUGUAUGUUGACUAACUAUCAGUAUUCUUUUCGAGAUCUACAAAUAUAUAAUCCGGUAGGUUCUAAAGUUUACCAUA